GAGGAAAAGAAACCAACAGGGAUUACCUCAGUAACGGCGAGUGAAGCGGUAACAGCUCAAAUUUGAAAGCUAGCUCUUUGAGGGUUCGCAUUGUAAUUUGUAGAAGAUGCUUCGGGUGUGGCCCCGGUCUAAGUUCCUUGGAACAGGACGUCAUAGAGGGUGAGAAUCCCGUAUGUGACUGGGUGCUUUCGCUCAUGUGAAGCUCUUUCGACGAGUCGAGUUGUUUGGGAAUGCAGCUCUAAAUGGGUGGUACAUUUCAUCUAAAGCUAAAUAUUGGCCAGAGACCGAUAGCGCACAAGUAGAGUGAUCGAAAGAUGAAAAGCACUUUGGAAAGAGAGUUAAACAGUACGUGAAAUUGUUGAAAGGGAAGCGCUUGCAACCAGACUUGCGCGCUGAUGAUCAUCCGGGCUUCUGCCCGGUGCACUCGUCUGCGCUCAGGCCAGCAUCGGUUUCGGUGGUGGGAUAAAGGCCUUGGGAAUGUAGCUCCUCUCGGGGAGUGUUAUAGCCCUCGGUGCAAUGCCGCCUACCGGGACCGAGGACCGCGCUUCGGCUAGGAUGCUGGCGUAAUGGUUGUAAGCGACCCGUCUUGAAACACGGACCAAGGAGUCUAACAUCUAUGCGAGUGUUUGGGUGUCAAACCCAUACGCGUAAUGAAAGUGAACGGAGGUGAGAACCCUUAAGGGUGCAUCAUCGACCGGUCCUGAUGUCUUCGGAUGGAUCUGAGUAAGAGCAUAGCUGUUGGGACCCGAAAGAUGGUGAACUAUGCGUGAAUAGGGUGAAGCCAGAGGAAACUCUGGUGGAGGCUCGCAGCGGUUCUGACGUGCAAAUCGAUCGUCAAAUUUGCGUAUAGGGGCGAAGAC
rnacentral:rRNA from 1 species